CAGAGGGUGCGAGCGUUAAUCGGAAUUACUGGGCGUAAAGCGUGCGUAGACGGCUAUCUAAGUCGGGUGUGAAAGCCCCGGGCUCAACCUGGGAAUUGCAUUCGAGACUGAAUAGCUAGGGUACGGUAGAGGGAAGUGGAAUUUCCGGUGUAGCGGUGAAAUGCGUAGAUAUCGGAAGGAACAUCAGUGGCGAAAGCGACUUCCUGGACCAGUACCGACGUUCAGGCACAAAAGCGUGGGGAGCAAACAGGAUUAGAUACCCUGGUAGUCCACGCCAUAAACGAUGAGGACUAGACGUUGGAGGGGUAAGCCUUUCAGUGUCGUAGCUAACGCGCUAAGUCCUCCGCCUGGGGAGUACGGCCGCAAGGUUG
rnacentral:rRNA from 1 species